rnacentral:rRNA from 1 species
UACGUAGGGAGCAAGCGUUGUCCGGAAUCAUUGGGCGUAAAGGGCGUGUAGGCGGCCAGGUAGGUCCGCUGUGAAAACUCGAGGCUCAACCUCGAGAUGUCGGCGGAAACCAUCUGGCUAGAGUCCGGAAGAGGAGAGUGGAAUUCCUGGUGUAGCGGUGAAAUGCGCAGAUAUCAGGAAGAACACCCGUGGCGAAGGCGGCUCUCUGGGACGGUACUGACGCUGAGACGCGAAAGCGUGGGGAGCGAACAGG